rnacentral:misc_RNA from 1 species
CAAUCAACAACAACAAACAAUAAGACCAUGGAAGCCAAACACAUAGAGGCUAAAGGGAAAGUAGUAGAAGAACAGGGAAAGCUUAGAUGGCUUCUCACUCUCAUAUAGCCGAAGGGGCAGCCACAAAGAUUGACUAGCAUUACCCUCAAGAACCCCUCUUCUUCCAUAAAAAAAAAAAAAAAAAGAUGAAACCCACAAUCCAGAAGCCAAUCACCAGAGGAAUGAAGGGGAAAGGAGAUCUGCUAGCCUAGUUAACCAUGAGGAGAAUCAAUUCAAUGAAACACCGAUUAACAAAUCCCAAUAUCCAUCCUUCCCAAGCAAAACCACAAAAACACCAUGCAAAGCAACCUUUAGACAACACCAAAGAAAGCUUUCUCUUUAAAAUUCAAGUUGCCAGAAACCUUACGAAAAUCCAUCCAGC